GGUGCGCAUCAGCUGUUGCUGCUGCUGCUGCUGCUGCUGAUGCUGCUUUGUGGGCGUCGAGGCCGAGCUGCUGCAUGUGUAGUAGCCGCAGGAACGUUCCAGGUCCUGCUGCUGCUGCUGCUGCUGCUGCAGCGGCUGCUCGGAAAAGUCAUCGCAGAUGGCUCUGCUGCGACUCCAAAUGCUUCGAUUGCUGCUCCGUGUGCUGCUGUUGCAGGAACUGCUGCCCAUGCCGCUGCUAUUACGACUGCUAUACAGACGCUUGCCACUGCCACUGGCACUGCCUGCUGCCAAAUUGU
rnacentral:sRNA from 1 species